rnacentral:rRNA from 1 species
AGUGAACGCUGGCGGUAGGCCUAACACAUGCAAGUCGAACGGCAGCACAGGAGAGCUUGCUCUCUGGGUGGCGAGUGGCGGACGGGUGAGGAAUACAUCGGAAUCUACCUUUUCGUGGGGGAUAACGUAGGGAAACUUACGCUAAUACCGCAUACGACCUACGGGUGAAAGUGGGGGACCGCAAGGCCUCACGCGAUUAGAUGAGCCGAUGUCCGAUUAGCUAGUUGGCGGGGUAAUGGCCCACCAAGGCGACGAUCGGUAGCUGGUCUAAGAGGAUGAUCAGCCACACUGGAACGGAGACACGGUCCAGACUCCUACGGGAGGCAGCAGUGGGGAAUAUUGGACAAUGGGCGCAAGCCUGAUCCAGCCAUACCGCGUGGGUGAAGAAGGCCUUCGGGUUGUAAAGCCCUUUUGUUGGGAAAGAAAUCCUGUCGAUUAAUACUCGGUGGGGAUGACGGUACCCAAAGAAUAAGCACCGGCUAACUUCGUGCCAGCCGCCGCGGUAAUAC